GCUCCGGUAGCUCAGCGGUAGAGCAGUUGACUGUUAAUCAAAAGGCCGUCGGUUCAAAUCCGGCCCGGGGCG
rnacentral:tRNA from 8 species